AAAGUCGUAACAAGGUUUCCGUAGGUGAACCUGCGGAAGGAUCAUUAAUGAUUCAAGAGGAUGUGCUGGCUCUUCUGUUGGAAGAUCAUUGUGCACUCUCUCAAAUCUACUCUAUUCACCUGUGCACACUUGGUAGGCAAAGGGUUUGGAAACAAACCCUAACCCUAUUGUUUUGUAAUACACACCUUAUGAAUUUGAUUGAACGAAAAUAAAAUUGUAACAACUUUCAACAAUGGAUCUCUUGGUUCUC
rnacentral:misc_RNA from 1 species